UACGUAGGGUGCGAGCGUUAAUCGGAAUUACUGGGCGUAAAGCGUGCGCAGGCGGUUUUGUAAGCCAGAUGUGAAAUCCCCGGGCUUAACCUGGGAAUGGCAUUUGGGACUGCAAAGCUUGAGUGUGGCAGAGGGGACUGGAAUUCCUUGUGUAGCAGUGAAAUGCGUAGAGAUCAGGAGGAAUACCGAUGGCGAAGGCAGGUCCCUGGGCUGACACUGACGCUCAUGCACGAAAGCGUGGGGAGCAAACAGG
rnacentral:rRNA from 1 species